rnacentral:rRNA from 1 species
UUUAAUUGAAGAGUUUGAUCAUGGCUCAGAUUGAACGCUGGCGGCAGGCCUAACACAUGCAAGUCGAGCGGUAACAGAGAUAGCUUGCUAUCUGCUGACGAGCGGCGGACGGGUGAGUAAUGCUUGGGAAUAUGCCUUUUGGUGGGGGACAACAGUUGGAAACGACUGCUAAUACCGCAUA